UCUGGAGAGUCCUGAGCAGGGAGAGA
rnacentral:piRNA from 1 species